UCCGGAGCUAACGCGUUAAGUCGACCGCCUGGGGAGUACGGCCGCAAGGUUAAAACUCAAAUGAAUUGACGGGGGCCCGCACAAGCGGUGGAGCAUGUGGUUUAAUUCGAUGCAACGCGAAGAACCUUACCUGGUCUUGACAUCCACAGAACUUUCCAGAGAUGGAUUGGUGCCUUCGGGAACUGUGAGACAGGUGCUGCAUGGCUGUCGUCAGCUCGUGUUGUGAAAUGUUGGGUUAAGUCCCGCAACGAGCGCAACCCUUAUCCUUUGUUGCCAGCGGUCCGGCCGGGAACUCAAAGGAGACUGCCAGUGAUAAACUGGAGGAAGGUGGGGAUGACGUCAAGUCAUCAUGGCCCUUACGACCAGGGCUACACACGUGCUACAAUGGCGCAUACAAAGAGAAGCAAUCUCGCGAGAGCUAGCGGACCUCAUAAAGUGCGUCGUAGUCCGGAUUGGAGUCUGCAACUCGACUCCAUGAAGUCGGAAUCGCUAGUAAUCGUGAAUCAGAAUGUCACGGUGAAUACGUUCCCGGGCCUUGUACACACCGCCCGUCACACCAUGGGAGUGGGU
rnacentral:rRNA from 2 species